UCUCCUACGGGGGGCAGCAGUGGGGAAUAUUGCACAAUGGGGGAAACCCUGAUGCAGCAACGCCGCGUGGGUGAAGAAGUAUUUCGGUAUGUAAAGCCCUAUCAGCAGGGAAGAGAAUGACGGUACCUGACUAAGAAGCCCCGGCUAACUGCGUGCCAGCAGCCGCGGUAAUACGUAGGGGGCAAGCGUUAUCCGGAAUCACUGGGUGUAAAGGGAGCGUAGACGGCUGAGCAAGCCUGAAGUGAAAGGCGGGGGCCCAACCCCCGGACUGCUUUGGGAACUGUACGGCUGGAGUGCAGGAGAGG
rnacentral:rRNA from 1 species